AUUGAACGCUGGCGGCAUGCCUAACACAUGCAAGUCGAACGGUAACAGGGGCUUCGGCCCGCUGACGAGUGGCGGACGGGUGAGUAACGCGUAGGAAUCUUCCCAGUAGCGGGGAUAGCUCGGCGAAAGCCGGAUUAAUACCGCAUACGCCCCACGGGGGAAAGCAGGGGGUCGUAAGACCUUGCACUAUUGGAUGAGCCUACGUCUGAUUAGCUAGUUGUAGGUAAANCCUACCAAGGCGACGAUCAGUAGCUGGUCUGAGAGGACGAUCAGCCACACUGGGACUGAGACACGGCCCAGACUCCUACGGGAGCAGCAGUGGGGAAUAUUGGACAAUGGCGCAAGCCUGAUCCAGCAAUGCCGCGUGUGUGAAGAAGG
rnacentral:rRNA from 1 species